GACGAACGCUGGCGGCACGCCUAACACAUGCAAGUCGAGCGGGAUCUUGUGGAAUGAGUCUUCGGACAAGUGAAGCAAGUGAGAGCGGCGGACGGGUGAGUAACGCGUGAGUAACCUGCCCUAUACAGGGGGAUAGCCAUUGGAAACGGUGAUUAAUACCCCAUAAGACCACGCCAUCGCAUGAUGAAGUGGUAAAAACUGAGGUGGUAUAGGAUGGACUCGCGUCUGAUUAGCUAGGUGGUGAGGUAACGGCUCACCAGCGCGACGAUCAGUAGCCGGCAUGAAAGAGUGAACGCGCACACUGGAACUGAGUCAAGGUCCAGACUCCUCCGCGAGGCAGCAGUGGGGAAUAUUGCACGAUGGGGGAAGCCCUGAUGCAGCGAUGCAGCGUGAACGAAGAAGGCUUUCGAGUCGUAAAGUUCUGUUCUUAGGGAAGAAAAUGACGGUACCUAAGGAGAAAGCACCGGCUAAAUACGUGCCAGCCGCCGCGGUAA
rnacentral:rRNA from 1 species